UGGACCUCCUGCUGCUUUGCUUUGGGCCAUUUAUGCCUAACAAAUUGACUGAUUUAUGCCAAUUGCUAGUAAACUACAAGGACUAGGAAUGAGUAGAGCUUGGGAUUACGCAGACUACUUGAGUAUCUGCUCACCCUAGGAUUAGCUAAAAUUUUGAUAUAUCCAAUUUUGCCUCAUGUUAACAGUCCCGGCGGCGGUUGUCAGCUGUAGUUCAGAAGGUGUGGCAUGGGAACAGCGACAUAUUAAUAGAUCAAGCUAGCUAUGGGGUGAUUGACAGCAGUAGUGCUUUGGGUGCUAACAGUUGGGGGUGAAAACGAGGUCCACUGCAGUUCAAAUUUUAGCUACCAUUAACAUUAAAGUACUCAUAUAGACACAUGCUCCCUAGAUACCUCCAUCUUUGUGGAUUAUGUUUUAGUUUCACUGAAGUUAUGUUGCAAGAUAUAACACAGAUGUUUGCCUAGGUACCUAAGAAGAAAUAAUCAAUAGGAUGAUAGCAGAUACUUGGUAGUUCGUGUGAUCUUUUCGUUUUAUGAAACACUUCAUAAAAAUCCUAGGUUAUGGCUACCAAAAUUCUAAUUUGUGAGUAGGGCACGCUUAGUUUGCUUCCACAAAAAGCAGCCUGACUCAGGCAGGGAUCUCAGGCGUCCGAAUUCCGAUCAAUUCCGGCAGCCUCCGUCGCCAUCCAACACCUCCCCUUGCUUCCGCGCCUCCACUCUAUUAGGGACUCUGGAGUAGGAGGGGCGGCCAUGGCGCUCGCAUUAGUCUCCAGCAGCGGCGGCGGGAGCGACUUCUCCGUGAUGGUGAUAGGGUCCGACUUCGUGGUGGACGCUGGCGCGGCGCUCCUCGUCUACCCCGCCGACCGUGGGGAGUGGCACGACUGCAUUCCGGACCUCGGUGAUGACUUCUCCAACCUCGAGGAGCUCCAGGUCGUCCACGUGCUGGGCGCGGACAGAUCCGGCCAGGCUGUCGUCAGCAAGUUGGACAACCAGAAUUGUUGUGCUUAUAAGUUUUGUGACAUUGAUUAGUGUUCCAGUUUCAUCUAAUUUUGCACAUGUCGAGAGAUGUAAGUCAAGUACUGAAAGGAUGGACAUUCUGUUAUAAUAACAAAGAUAAUCGUUGCAUGUAACUAGUAACUACUGCAGUGGCUUGACCAAUUCCAACUACACGGAACUUACGAUAAGUACAAGGACCAGGGCAUGAUCUAUCUGCAUAUGAUUAGCCCUUGAUUUUGAGUUAUGAUAUGUUAUGCUAACAAUUUUAUCUGACUACAGGUUUUGAGAUCUUUGCUUUCCCAUGCAACCAGUUUGGUGGGCCAGAACUUGGCAUUGAUAAGGAAAUUAUUCAGAUUGCUUGCACUCGUUUCAAUGCCGAAUAUCUGAUUUUUUUUACAAGGGUUCUGUUGGCGACGCUGACGGUCGUCGAAAGGUUUGUGGACUCAACGGUGUCGUGGCACCGUCCACGGUGUCGUGGCACCGUCCACGGUGUCGUGGCAGCCGGUGCACGAAGAAGCAAAGCUGUUGCACGUCAUCUACCUCUGGCACCCCAGACACAGGGUGCGGGGCACUUGUACGAUGGCUUCCUCCGUCCGCUGGUGGCGAGGCACGAGGACGACCUCGACCGGGGCCUGCUGGAGACGUGGCGGCGGUUGCCGUCGGUCAGAUGUGGCUCGUCGAGGCUACCCCUUGUGCUUCACCGCAGCUGCAGGCCGCGAGAUCAGGCCGGGCAGGUGCCGCAUAUUGACGAGUGAUCCAAUUUUCGGAUCGGACCAUAACAACUUAAGUAGGUUGCUGCUUACCAAGUUGCUACGCACAAUACUGUGUAAUAGGAAUUAUACAUGGGUUGCCGCUACAAUGAGAAACUGUGAAUAGAUACGGCAAAUGUGUGAUAGAAUGGAAUUGGCUGAUUUUUUUUAAUUCA